rnacentral:lncRNA from 1 species
CGGGGAAGGUGGAGCCAGCUCAUAUGGUGCAACAGCUGAUGAUGAUGAGCAGGAGGAAGCAGAUGACGAGGAUGAUGCUGAUGAGGAUGCAGAUAUGAGUGAUUAGAGCACAUCAUGAGUUUCACAAGACCUGUUUUAUUUUGCUUUCUUUUGUUUUGUUUUCUAGUUUAAUUGCUGAAUUUGGUUGAAAUUUAGUUUUUAGUUUAGGAUUUAAUGAACAGUUUGCAUUCCAACUUGGAUGUUUUGGUUGAGUUAUCUGGCUUUAUAGACUAUGNUGAUCCAUGAUGCUUAUGCUUGAAUUUGAAAUGAUGUUUGAGAUGGAUCAAGUUAGUUCAAAUUGUGUUGUUGUCUUCAGGAAAUGUAUGAGAAUGCCUUAUGUUUAAUUGCGAUC